UACGUAGGGGGCGAGCGUUGUCCGGAAUCAUUGGGCGUAAAGCGCGUGUAGGCGGUUCGGUAAGUCCGCUGUGAAAGUCGGGGGGCUCAACCCUCGAAAGCCGGUGGAUACUGUCGGGCUUGAGUACGGAAGAGGCGAGUGGAAUUCCUGGGUGUAGCGGUGAAAUGCGCAGAUAUCAGGAGGAACACCAAUUGCGAAGGCAGCUCGCUGGGACGUACUGACGCUGAGACGCGAAAACGUGGGGAGCAAACAGG
rnacentral:rRNA from 1 species